CAGUAGCCGCGGGAAUACGUAGGUCCCGAGCGUUGUCCGGAUUUAUUGGGCGUAAAGCGAGCGCAGGCGGUUAGAUAAGUCUGAAGUUAAAGGCUGUGGCUUAACCAUAGUACGCUUUGGAAACUGUUUAACUUGAGUGCAAGAGGGGAGAGUGGAAUUCCAUGUGUAGCGGUGAAAUGCGUAGAUAUAUGGAGGAACACCGGUGGCGAAAGCGGCUCGCUGGCUUGUAACUGACGCUGAGGCUCGAAAGCGUGGGGAGCAAACAGGAUUAGAUACCCGCGUAGUCCCUGUCUCUUAUAUA
rnacentral:rRNA from 1 species